UUUCGGACAGUUUCAUGGCGGAUUUAAACAAAAACAAGUGUGAUAUAAACUGCAAAAGGGUAAGAAACGAAUUAGUCAUAAUAUUUUAUAUACGAGUCGUAGUAACUAUUUAAGUACCAAUUUCUUUUAUGGCUUGCUUUCCCUAGUCACUGUACAAAUCAAUGCUUGUCUCGGCGUCCAACACGUUGUGAUAUCGGCCAUCGUGUCAUCACUUUCCCCAAUUAGUUUUCUUUGUCCAAAACUUAGCUUUUAUGGGUAAACUUUUCCAUACAUUACCUUUUGGAUUGGCCUCGCUGUUGUCGAGAAACAGAGGAAGUGCCCACGUCUUUUUCCUUUUCUCAGAUUUUAUGAGGCUCAUUCUCGCAGUAAUUAACAGUGACUUAGGUGUCGACAGAACAAUGGCGCUCAAGUAACUUAGUACGGUUAGAGUCAACUGAAAGGAUCAUUCGUGCUCGGGUAUCUAUUUGUUUUUGUGUGCUUCUCGUUUAGUAAUCGUUUGACCGUAAACAUUUGAGACUGACAGAAUCGAUAUAAUAAAUUACAUUUACAUUUAGCAAUGUGAAAGCGUAGACUAUUGUCGUUUGUUGAGAAUUUUGCCUCCAAUUUAAUUUCCUUGUGCUUUUGUAUGACUUUCCAUUUUCGAAUGACUGUGAUUUAAUGUUUUUUUUUUUUUUUUAGCAUGAUCAAGGAUCACAUAUAGUUAUGAGAUUCUUUCUGUUCUUCAACCUUUCCCUCCAGUCUUUUAUUUUAUUUUUCUCACGCUUGUACGCGAACAAUUACUAACCAUACUGUUUAAGGCUAACGACAGAUACUCCCUGGAAUGCAAUCUAAAUUAUUUUUUGGGAAAGUAUUAAUAAUCUUCGUGAAAUAAGGAAGUGGUGAGAUGGAAGCAGGACGACAUUUCCACUUCACUGAAACCAGAACGGAAAAGCCAACCAUUUCAAUUGCAAUGCUUCUUUCCAGACAGUUGGCCCGUCAAACCAAAUCAUAUUACCCUGUGCGUGUGCUGACGCUGCGAUCGUUUUAUCCCCCAUGUCCAACGAGCGGAAGGGCACAGACUUGGAAACUCUUGAGAAGUAACAAUGGCCCGGAAAGCAAUUGGUUAUUCGGGUCAAAUGCAACGUACCCAAAUUGCUUCUGGCCGUUACACGCCGUGUAUUUCGUCAGAUAAUACUUUCUGUUUCCAUGCAAAAUGCUAUAUAUUGCGUUCAUGAACGGCUAUAACCUGUAUGGGUUCCAUUCUUAGGUGCCAUCAUCUGAGUAGAUGUCGUGUGACAUAGAAAAUUGUCGUAAGUUACGAAAAAACGUGUAUUUGUCUGUGACAUCGAGAAAUUUUAAGUUAACACUGUUGAAACUAUACCAAUUCAUAAAAGAGAAAUUUUCUUCAUUUAGUCUUGGCAAAUGAAGGGUAGAUGAGCUUCUUUGCACGACGCGGUGGCCCAGGUACCUUCCGGUGUAAGCGUGAUGCGAAUGCACUGAGGGGUUCCAUCGCUGUUGGGCUCACCAUAGAACCAGUUGGCGAAAGAGACGAGUUUCUGUUUGGAAGCCCAGUAGUAAUUAUCUAAUGCUGGAACUUGUGCCCCUGACGUCCAGACACCUCCGGUUUUCUGAGCGACUUCGUCUACGCAAACCAUGACAACGUAAUGUUCCAGCGAAAAAGUUAACAAAAUAUUUAACCUCCUAAGAUAAUGGGCAUUAAGAAGCUUUCAAUGUCUGCCUGAUCUUUUGCUGUUUCAAUGCUGAUUAGAUCCUUGCGAUUGGUUUUGCAGAAUUCGAAAGCUUUCCGCCAAGGCUACAACAAAGAAUCAAGUGGAAAUUCGUGAACAUACGUUUUUACGUCGGAUAAACACAAAGCUUUUCUUUUUACCUGCUGUUGUCACUGCCUUCUCUCCGAUGGCUGAAUGUGCGUCUGCCUGGACUACACCUGACCCUUGCUGAGAAAAUGGAUUUCUAAAAAUGAAACUAAAGAACGUACCAUUGAACAAGAGGACACCAAAGAUGCAAGACACAAUGCUUGCUUUAUAUACUAGGUUGAACUGAACCGUACGAAGCGGUCAGUGAUCUCUUUGCCAGCCCCAUUUUGACCCUAGAGAGAAUGCGGUUUGAAAUGCUGAUAGGAUAGGUCAGGAACUGAUAGAAGAAACGGACGAAAUAAACGGGUGGCGUAUACAUUGGGAUUAGUGGAUCUCAGGUCAACGAUCCAGUUUUUCUUAACCAUCCGGGUUGAAUGACUUCAGAUUGUGUAUUAUUGAGCGAGCUGACGAAAUGAAGAUGACUUGAUAGAAGUCCCAAAUGCUGGAUGGAGAAGGAGAUGUGAAAAAUUUCAGAUAAUUCUAGAUAGACUAUAUUGAAGAAGAUUUGACGUAAGAUUUAAAUGAAUUUGGUACUAAACAUUAUAUAAUAUUUAGAUAUUGCUAUAUGUAAAAAUUUAACGUAUUCAUAAAGUAUUCAUUGUGUGGAUAUUAUGUGAAUAAUGUUUAUUUUGCUACGUUUUAGAAAGGUAAAAAUGUUCUUUAAAUUUCUUUUCGUUUUCUGGGAUAUUUGCAACAACGUGGUAAGAUAUGUUAUAUGUAGGUGUCAAAUUGACGGACAAGCAGAAGAAAAUGUGCGUUGUAACACGCGCAGGAACUUAUGCAAGUCAACGGCGGCUGGCCCGCUACUGGAUUGACCACCACGCAUACCCAGGCGGAUAAGUACGUCAAAUGGUCAGUUUUUCUUCCUAACCCGGAACAGUUUUCUUGCCAUUCCUUUAGUUUAUAAUACGAUGUGAAGAAAUCGAUAAUGGAUUUCGCUACCGUGCUGUGCCUUUUUCCUAAUCUAGCGCGGACAAUCUAAUCAAUACAUCGACAAGUGUGA